rnacentral:lncRNA from 10 species
AGAGCUAAAUUUUAAUACUUUGUGAGCCUUUUAUUGUGUAAAUUCACACAUUUUGGCAAUGAUGUUGGUUACACCACUUGGCCCAGAUCGGAUUCAGAAAAUAGAGCCCUUCUCCCUGUCCCCUGCACACAUACAUGAGGAGUUGAAUACAUCCAUUCCGUAGGCUCUGUCAUCUUUCUGAUGUCUGCUCUCUCCCAGUCAGCAGCAGCAUCUGGAAUCAUGGCUCCUGGGAUCAUGCAUGAACUUUGGGUGCAGAGAAUCAAGCUUGAGUUCAAAUUCUGCUUUCUGUCUUCUUAGCUGUGUGACCUCAGGACCUUUGCACUUGCUGUCUGCGUAGUCACCCUUUCUACCGCUGGCUCCUUCUCAGCUUAAAUAUCAACUCCAACAGGCCUGUCCAGGCCACUUCCCAUAUGGCCUCUACUCUCUCACACUAGCCCACUUGGGUCCCUUCGUAAUUACCUCCAUGUGCUUUGUUUGCUUCCGUGUUUUCUUUUUUUAUUCUUUUUUUUUUUUUUUUGAGACUGAGUCUUAUUCUGUUGCCCGGGCUGGAGUGCAGUGGCGCAAUUUUGGCUCACUGCAACCUCUGCCUCUUGGGUUCAAGCAAUUCUCCUGCCUCAGCCUCUUGAGUAGCUGGGACUACAGGCACGCGCCACCACGCCCAGCUAAUUUUUUGUAUUUUUAGUAGAGACGGGGUUUCACCAUGUUUGCCAGGACGGUCUCAAUCUCCUGACCUCGUGAUCCGUCCGCCUCUGCCUGGCAAAGUGCUGGGAUUACAGGCUUGAGCCACUAGCCUUUUUUUUUUUUUUUUUUUUUGAGAUGGAGUCUCACUCUGUCGCCCAGGCUGGAGUGCAGUGGCGCGAUCUCAGCUCACUGCAACCUCCCAGGUUCAAGGAAUUCUUGUGCCUCAGCUUCGCAAGUAUCUGGGAUUACAGGUGCAUACCACCACACCUGGCUAAUUUUUGUAUUUUUAGUAGAGAUGGGGUUUCACCAUGUUGAGCAGGCUGGUCUCAAACUCCUGACCUCAAGUGAUCUACCCGUCUUGGCCUCCCAAAAUGCUGGGAUUGUAGGCUUGAGCCACCCCGCCCAGCCUGCUUCUGUGCUUUCCAUCCUUUGAAGGCAGGGACUUGCUCUGAUGUGGGCUCUUGUGAUGGAGACACGUGGGGGCCUUGGCCAACCACAUCCUUGCUCAGAGUCUCAGAUUUCUCACUUGUUCAAGAUCAUCCAGAAAGCAGUGAAGUCAGAAUUUGCACCUAAAUCAAAUCUAUUUUGUCUUUAAAAGUGACUCCUGACAGCACAGACAUGUCCCUAAAUGAAUGCAGUAAAUGCGAUGUGAGUUUUAUUUCAGUAAUAAUUCAUCUCAGGCUGGGCGUGGUGGCUCACGCCUGUAAUCCAAACACUUUGGGUGGUC